rnacentral:rRNA from 1 species
CCUACGGGCGGCUGCAGUGGGGAAUAUUGGACAAUGGGGGGAACCCUGAUCCAGCCAUGCCGCGUGUGAAGAAGGCCCUCGGGUUGUAAAGCACUUUCAGUGAGGAAGAACGCCUGGUGGUUAAUACCCAUCAGGAAAGACAUCACUCACAGAAGAAGCACCGGCUAACUCCGUGCCAGCAGCCGCGGUAAUACGGAGGGUGCGAGCGUUAAUCGGAAUUACUGGGCGUAAAGCGCGCGUAGGUGGCUUGAUAAGCCGGUUGUGAAAGCCCCGGGCUCAACCUGGGAACGGCAUCCGGAACUGUCAAGCUAGAGUGCAGGAGAGGAAGGUAGAAUUCCCGGUGUAGCGGUGAAAUGCGUAGAGAUCGGGAGGAAUACCAGUGGCGAAGGCGGCCUUCUGGACUGACACUGACACUGAGGUGCGAAAGCGUGGGUAGCAAACAGGAUUAGAUACCCGUGUAGUC